GGAUUGUCAAAAAUGGAUCUGCGGAAGAUGUUGAAGGCUAGUUUAUCUGGGGUUGACAAGUCUAUUAGUGCAAUGUAUAAGAAGUUGCAGAAGAACUUAACUUCAGAGGAAUUGUUACCUUCUUUAUGGGAUAAAUGCAAGAAGGAGUUUUUGGACAAGUAUGAAAGUUUUGUCCAACUCGUUGCAAAGAUCUACCCCAAUGAAACCAUCCCUUCUGUGACAGAAAUGAGAGACCUUCUGGCGUCCAUGUAAUCUUUGUAGAGAGAUUUCUGUUGUAUAAUGCUUUAGAUGUUCUUUUCCUUCUCUUUCUUUCCUUCUUUUUUGGAAAAGUAUUAGAGUCGCGUUAGCCUGAUGUAAUUAUU
rnacentral:misc_RNA from 1 species